UUUUUGUGUGUGUUCAGGUGGCAAACUCAGAUUAAGGAAACUAUUUAAAAAAAUUAUUUUGCCCAAAUUUGGGCUUUCUGGAGGCUAACAUAAUUUACAAUUAGCCUACAGCGCACCCUUAUGGCUGCUCCAGUUGAACUACAGUUUCCGGUUGAUGAUUGCUCGCGCGAGGCUUGGCACAAAAGUGAUCUCGCGCGAACAGCCCUGCUGCGGUACUGAGGUAAACAGAAGAAAACUGCGGAUCCGCUUCGGACUUGGGUUUAAAGCGAUGGACGCGUUGGACAUGUUAUUACAGCAAACAGACUAUCACAAUUUUGAGAGAGAGGCUAAGUACCACUACCUCGCUAACUUUCCUCCAAGACAAGAGUCAGGAUACUACAGUGAGGUGAACAUCUUGGUUCUCAGGGAGGUUACUACCAAAUCUGUCUCUAUGAAGCUGCGGCGCAGGACAGUCCUGAGAAGCCGACGGCUUCGACAGCGAGAACAUGUGAAGGACUCUGAGAGCAUCUCUGUGGUGUUGAGGGACGCUGACUCUAGUCAGUCAGACAGUGUGGAAGAAAUAAAAGAUCAGGUGUCUGUUCUUCGUGAUAUGGAGCGGCCGGUAAGGAAGAGUAGAGCUGGUUCAUCAUGUCGCGUGAGAAAAGAAGGCGAGAGGCCGCUUUCUGAUGUGGAAGCACAACCUGGGACGGUUCAGAAGAUCUCCCUGGCUCCAGGUGCAAUGGCUGAGGACACUCUAGAGAAACUCAGGUUUAGGGCUAAUACCUCUAAGACCAAGAUCGAGAUUGAGUCUCGAGCAGAGCUUGAGUCUAUUUUGGACGAAUCCAGUACUGAUUUCACAGUGGAAUCGGGUCCCAGCUCACCCUGUCGUCCUCUCAAUACAGUAAGAUGCAGAGAGUGCGAGAGACUUUUCGCAAAGAUGAGAAAACAUCCCACCCCGGAAAAGAAAAGCAGAGAUACAGAUCCAGCAUCUUUAUCUUGUGAUGUGUGGGUUCUGCUUAAGAAGUGGCACCCUCAGAGACACCGUCAUCGAGAGAAGGGAUUAUUGUGGACGAGCCUGAGUCGGAUCAGGAAGCUGUUAGCAGGAGGCUCCGACUUUGCAGCUGUCAACAGAACAGAAGCAAACUGCUCCAGACCUCAUGUAUUUCAGCAGAGGAAUUUACGGCGCUGCAAGUAUCUGCUUUCCAUUCAGACCAACCGGUCCAUUACCAAAGCAAAGCCACGGCAUCGUAAGAGGUCACGAUCUGUGGUCUGGCCACCCCUCGCUGGCUGGACAUCUUCAGUGAAAAGGAAGCCUUCUUUGAACAACACAUUUUCUCAGCAGCUUUCUCCUCUCAACCUUAGUGUUAGGAUGACACAGGAGGACAAACUGUUUGUAGAUGAUAAGAUUUCAAGAUUAAAUGCAGAUUUGAAGCAGAACUCAGAUGCCUCCAGCGAACAGAGGACGACUAAUGUCCGUGGCAAACUGAACAAGCAGGAAGUGUUUGAUGGCAUAGAAGGAACGCGGCGGGUGCUGAAGUUUGAUGAAACGCCUGAAACUGUUGCUGUGGAAGCUGCGGAACAGAGGAAAAGCCCUCGGCAGAAGCACAAACGUGGAGUGAUUCGUGAAGCUCAGAAUGGUUUCCAGAAUGAGCAGCAGGAGGAGAUUUCUGAGGAUUCGGAUGGGUUCAGGACUCCCACAGAUCUGUUCAGCGUGAAGCCUAAAAUGAAAGGAGGGAACCAGAAGAAAGUCUCUGCCUCUGGUGUAACAAAACCUGCCGCUCAGAAGCCCAACUUCAUGUCCAUGUUAGCCACUCUGGUGAAGAAUCAGAAUCAGAUUAUUAAAGAGUCCUGCAAAUGAGUCUCUAUGAAAGUCCUGCAAUUAGAUUUGUGUGUCAUUUUGUAUAAAUGAAGAGACAUGCAUCGUUGCUGUUGAGAUUUGUUUUAUUGUGUAACUUGUUUAAAUUAAUAGAUCUGAUUUCUGAAAAAAAAGUCUGGUUAUAUUUAUUGUAUUGUUCAGUUGUUUGUGUUCUAACGUUUGUAUUUGCAUGAGUAAAUAAAUCUUGCAUAAACAUCUUUUUGUCUUUGCUUAACACAGAGUGGCUUGAACUGUAGUUAUAGUUAUUGUAAUCACCACAGAGUGGAGCUGUUUCCAAACAAACCUGCGCAUUUAAAC
ensembl:lncRNA